rnacentral:rRNA from 1 species
UGAGGAAUAUUGGUCAAUGGACGCAAGUCUGAACCAGCCAUGCCGCGUGCAGGAUGACGGUCCUAUGGAUUGUAAACUGCUUUUGUACAGGAAGAAACACUCCUUCGUGAAGGAACUUGACGGUACUGUAAGAAUAAGGAUCGGCUAACUCCGUG